UACGUAGGGUGCAAGCGUUAAUCGGAAUUACUGGGCGUAAAGCGAGCGCAGGCGGUUAUUUAAGUCAGGUGUGAAAGCCCCGAGCUCAACUUGGGACGUGCAUUUGAAACUGGGUAACUAGAGUGUGUCAGAGGGGGGUAGAAUUCCACGUGUAGCAGUGAAAUGCGUAGAGAUGUGGAGGAAUACCGAUGGCGAAGGCAGCCCCCUGGGAUAACACUGACGCUCAUGCUCGAAAGCGUGGGUAGCAAACAGG
rnacentral:rRNA from 1 species